AAACUAACAAGGAUUCCCUUAGUAGCGGCGAGCGAAGCGGGAUGAGCUCAAAUUUGAAAUCUGGCGUCUUUCAGGCGUCCGAGUUGUAAUCUAUAGAAGCGUUUUCUAUGCUGGACCGUGUCCAAGUCCCUUGGAACAGGGUAUCAAAGAGGGUGACAAUCCCGUACUUGACACGACCACCAGUGUUCUGUGAUACGUUUUCUACGAGUCGAGUUGUUUGGGAAUGCAGCUCAAAAUGGGUGGUAAAUUCCAUCUAAAGCUAAAUAUUGGCGAGAGACCGAUAGCGAACAAGUACCGUGAGGGAAAGAUGAAAAGCACUUUGGAAAGAGAGUUAAACAGUACGUGAAAUUGUUGAAAGGGAAACGAUUGAAGUCAGUCGUGUCUAUUGGUUUCAGCCGGUUCUGCCGGUGUAUUACCUUUAGACGGGUCAACAUCAGUUUUGGACGGCAGAUAAGAGCAGUUUGAAUGUAGCACCUCCGGGUGUGUUAUAGCUUUCUGUUGCAUAUGCUGUCUGAGACUGAGGACUGCAGCUCGCCUUUUAGGCCGGGGUUCGCCCACGUUCGAGCUUAGGAUGUUGACAUAAUGGCUUUAAACGACC
rnacentral:rRNA from 1 species